UCAGCCGCCGCGGUAAAACCAGCACCUCGAGUGGUCAGGAGGUUUAUUGGGCCUAAAGCAUCCGUAGCCGGUUGUUUAAGUUUUCGGUUAAAUCUAUGCGCUUAACGUAUAGGCUGCCGAAAAUACUGGACAGCUAGGGAGUGGGAGAGGUACACGGUAUUCAAUAGGAAGGGGUAAAAUCCUUUGAUCUGUUGAUGACCACCUGUGGCGAAGGCGGUGUACCAGAACACGUUCGACGGUGAGGGAUGAAAGCUGGGGGAGCGAACCGGAUUAGAUACCCGGGUAGUCCCAGCUGUAAACGAUGCAAACUUGGUGAUGCAUUGGCUUGUGGCCAAUGCAGUGCCGCAGGGAAGCCGUUAAGUUUGCCGCCUGGGACGUACGUACGCAAGUAUGAAACUUAAAGGAAUUGGCGGGGGAGCACA
rnacentral:rRNA from 1 species